rnacentral:lncRNA from 1 species
CACUGGCAAAACAAUGCAGACUUUGCUUUCCUUGGUCAGGCAGUAUAAUCCAAAGAUGGUCAAGGUCGCAAGCUUGCUGGUGAAAAGGACCCCACGAAGUGUUGGAUAUAAGCCAGACUUUGUUGGAUUUGAAAUUCCAGACAAGUUUGUUGUAGGAUAUGCCCUUGACUAUAAUGAAUACUUCAGGGAUUUGAAUCAUGUUUGUGUCAUUAGUGAAACUGGAAAAGCAAAAUACAAAGCCUAAGAUGAGAGUUCAAGUUGAGUUUGGAAACAUCUGGAGUCCUAUUGACAUCGCCAGUAAAAUUAUCAAUGUUCUAGUUCUGUGGCCAUCUGCUUAGUAGAGCUUUUUGCAUGUAUCUUCUAAGAAUUUUAUCUGUUUUGUACUUUAGAAAUGUCAGUUGCUGCAUUCCUAAACUGUUUAUUUGCACUAUGAGCCUAUAGACUAUCAGUUCCCUUUGGGCGGAUUGUUGUUUAACUUGUAAAUGAAAAAAUUCUCUUAAACCACAGCACUAUUGAGUGAAACAUUGAACUCAUAUCUGUAAGAAAUAAAGAGAAGAUAUAUUAGUUUUUUAAUUGGUAUUUUAAUUUUUAUAUAUGCAGGAAAGAAUAGAAGUGAUUGAAUAUUGUUAAUUAUACCACCGUGUGUUAGAAAAGUAAGAAGCAGUCAAUUUUCACAUCAAAGACAGCAUCUAAGAAGUUUUGUUCUGUCCUGGAAUUAUUUUAGUAGUGUUUCAGUAAUGUUGACUGUAUUUUCCAACUUGUUCAAAUUAUUACCAGUGAAUCUUUGUCAGCAGUUCCCUUUUAAAUGCAAAUCAAUAAAUU